UACAGAGGUCUCAAGCGUUGUUCGGAUUCAUUGGGCGUAAAGGGUGCGUAGGCGGCGCGGUAAGUCGGGUGUGAAAUCUCGGAGCUUAACUCCGAAACUGCAUUCGAUACUGUCGUGCUUGAGGACUGGAGAGGAGACUGGAAUUUACGGUGUAGCGGUGAAAUGCGUAGAUAUCGUAAGGAAGACCAGUGGCGAAGGCGGGUCUCUGGGGCUGACACUGACGCUCAUGCACGAAAGCGUGGGGAGCAACGACGG
rnacentral:rRNA from 1 species